UACGUAGGGUCCGAGCGUUGUCCGGAAUUAUUGGGCGUAAAGAGCUCGUAGGCGGUCUGUUGCGUCGGUUGUGAAAACCUGGGGCUCAACUCCAGGCCUGCAAUCGAUACGGGCAGACUAGAGUUCGGCAGGGGAGACUGGAAUUCCUGGUGUAGCGGUGAAAUGCGCAGAUAUCAGGAGGAACACCGGUGGCGAAGGCGGGUCUCUGGGCCGAAACUGACGCUGAGGAGCGAAAGCGUGGGGAGCGAACAGG
rnacentral:rRNA from 1 species